rnacentral:rRNA from 1 species
AACGAACGCUGGCGGCGUGGCUAAGGCAUGCAAGUCGAGCGGAUCUAUUCAACGGGUAACUGGAGGAUAGAUUAGCGGCGGACGGGUGAGGAAUACAUGGAUGACGUACCCUAGACACAGGGAUAGCGGCGGGCCGUAAGGUCCUUUGCGAAAGUGCCGGUAAUACCUGAUGACCCCGUAGGAUCGCAUGGUCCAGCGGGCAAAGCUCCGGCGGUCUGGGAUCGGUUCAUGCCCUAUCAGCUAGUUGGCGGGGUAACGGCCCACCAAGGCGGCGACGGGUACCGGGUGUGAGAGCAUGACCCGGCACAUCGGAACUGAGACACGGUCCGGACACCUACGGGUGGCUGCAGCAACGAAUAUUCCGCAAAUGGACGAAAGUCUGACGGAGCGACGCCGCGUGCAGGAAGAAGUCCC